rnacentral:rRNA from 1 species
UACGUAGGUGGCAAGCGUUGUCCGGAUUUACUGGGCGUAAAGAGCGCGCAGGCGGUCGUUCAAGUCGGGUGUGAAAGCCCCCGGCUCAACUGGGGAGGGUCACUCGAUACUGAUCGACUCGAAGGCAGAAGAGGGAAGCGGAAUUCCCGGUGUAGUGGUGAAAUGCGUAGAUAUCGGGAGGAACACCAGUGGCGAAGGCGGCUUUCUGGUCUGCUCUUGACGCUGAGGCGCGAAAGCUAGGGUAGCAAACGGG